rnacentral:lncRNA from 1 species
UCUGAGAAUGGGCCUGUAAAACAGGCCCAUAGAGGGGGGAAACUCAUGGAAGGGGCUGUAGACUGCAUCAUUCUGCAGUAUGGAAGGAACUGGAGCGUAAUACACCUCACUGCAUGACAGCUACCCUGCAGCUGCUGAGCGCAAAGUGAUGCCAUGGCAGCAGUGCUGGGGUUGGGGUUGCCCCGGUGUGGGGUUUUUGCUCACUCUUUCCACAUAGGCCAGCAGCAGCACCAGGCACACUUUGCCACUCCACCAAUUUGUGGUCAUGUUCCAGCUCAGUCGAUUUGCAAGACUUGAAAAGAAGAGGUGAUGCACACAAGGGACCCGGCAGCGCUCGUCCCUCCCUGUGGUUCUUGCUAAGGCUCCACCAAUGCAGAAUAGAUCAGGGCUAGGAAUAAACAUUUG